GAUGAACGCUGGCGGCGUGCCUAAUACAUGCAAGUCGAGCGAACAGACGAGGAGCUUGCUUCUCUGACGUUAGCGGCGGACGGGUGAGUAACACGUGGAUAACCUACCUAUAAGACUGGGAUAACUUCGGGAAACCGGAGCUAAUACCGGAUGAUAUUUUGAACCGCAUGGUUCAAUAGUGAAAGACGGUCUUGCUGUCACUUAUAGAUGGAUCCGCGCUGCAUUAGCUAGUUGGUAAGGUAACGGCUUACCAAGGCAACGAUGCAUAGCCGACCUGAGAGGGUGAUCGGCCACACUGGAAAGGAAACACGGUCCAGACUCCUACGGGAGGCAGCAGUAGGGAAUCUUCCGCAAUGGGCGAAAGCCUGACGGAGCAACGCCGCGUGAGUGAUGAAGGUCUUCGGAUCGGAAAAAUCUGUUAUUAGGGAAAAACAUAUGUGUAAGGAACUGUGCACAGCUUGACGGUACCUAAUCAGAAAGCCCCGGCUAACUACGUG
rnacentral:rRNA from 1 species